GGUGUGUUUCAGCCUCGGCUAUAUCUUCACGUAAACCUAGAAAUAUGGAGAAGGGCCCUGCUGAGUGAUUCAAGGAGAAGGCCAUGGGCAGAGCCACUGUUUUGAUCACAUGAUCUGUUGCUCACUCUCCAGUCUCCUCUGACUUUACUAUGG
rnacentral:lncRNA from 1 species